UUGCAAACUAUAAAAUCCAAUCGGGCUGGUUUAAGCAAGCAGAAUUUAUUGAGACUUCUUAGUAGUUCUGACUCACUGGGAGAUCUGAAGAAAAAGACACUCAAGACUGGUCUCCUGGGAACGCAACCCAGAAGCGACCCGAUGAGAACGCUGCUGCCACCACCACUCUUUGCCACCACCUUCACUUGCAAAAUGGAGACUAGAAGCUAUUCUCUGCAAAAGUUCCAGGCUCAGGGACAAGAGGCCUAGAGGAGGACAGGGCUGAGGUGCUGAGCUGAAAACAAGGAGAUUAAGUUAAAUUCUGCUUGGUAAGGGUGGAAAUUAUCUACUUUCAAAACCCCAAGCAAUGCCUUCAGCUAUCUCUAACCCCAUUCCGGCAGCAGGCAUUCUAGGGAACGCGGCUCCGAUUCUAGGC
rnacentral:lncRNA from 1 species